rnacentral:rRNA from 1 species
GUUUGAUACCCCGAAACUACGUGAGCUACUUCAAGACAGCCUAUUAAUAGGGCUAACCCAUCUCUGUGGCAAAAGCGUGGGAAGAACUUUGAGUAGAGGUGACAAACCUACCGAACCUAGUUAUAGCUGGUUGUCCAAGAAAUGAAUAAAAGUUCAGCCUCUAAGCUUCUCCUUUCACCUGAACUUAACCCCUUUAGAUGUAUUAAAGAAACUAAGAAAGUUAGUCAAAGGAGGUACAGCUCCUUUGAAUCAAGACACAACUUUAACAGGCGGGUAAAGAUCAUAAUAACCAAAGCUAGACAUUCUGGUGGGCCUAAAAGCAGCCAUCCCUUAGAAAGCGUUAAAGCUCAAACAUAUUACUUAUACCUUCUUAUCCUGAUCAAUAAAUCUCACCCCCCUAACCAUACUGGACCCUCCCAUGCCCCCAUGGGUGUGAUUAUGCUAAUAUGAGUAAUAAGAGAGCCCGCCUCUCUCCCUGCACACGUGUACCUCGGAACAGACAACCCACCGACCAUUAACGACCCCAAACAAAGAGGGUAAUAAAUCAUAAACUAAAAUCAAGUAAAACAUUUAAAAAUUAACCGUUAACCCCACACAGGUGAACCCCAAGGAAAGACCUAAAGAAAGAGAAGGAACUCGGCAAACACAUAAAGUCUCGCCUGUUUACCAAAAACAUCGCCUCUUGUACCCCCC